GCCUGCUUUCCUUGCUCCCUCAAGCCAUUUUCGAGCUUGAGACUGCUCUGCUCAUCCCAGAGGCCUCAGUUAUCCCCCCACUGCAUAGCUGUAUAUUCUAGUUGUGAGUGCCUCUAGUUGUGGCAUGUGGGACACCGUCUCAGCAUGGCCUGAUGAGCAGUGCCAUGUCCCCACCCAGGAUCCCAACCGGCGAAACCUUGGGCUGCCAAAGCGGAGCAUGCGAACUUAACCACUAGGCCACUGGGCCGGCCCCUCAUGUGAUUUUUUGAGCUACAUAAGCCUGUCAUUAGGUAUCAUGGAAUGAGCACCUCAUCUCUGUGAACAGUCGCCCCUAACUCUUCCUUCCCGACAAAAGAAUUCUGUCCUGACGGCACCCACUGUCUCUCCAUCUCCACCCGCCCUGUCCCCCCACUGCAGCUCUGCCUGGCUGCCUCUUUGCCAACUCCCGCAAAGAGUCUACUUCACGUUAGAUAAGGAUUCGAGGAGUCAUGUAUUGUUUUUAAAAGGAAGGAGGAGAGCAGACGCAGUCCUAAAACUGCAGGAGGAAAAGGAGGUGAUUCUGUGUCACGUUUGUUUUCAAGAGGGAUGCAGAUGAAAAGAGAAGCACAGGCGAAGCUGCCCAGCGUGCUGAGAUGAAGGAAAGCAUGGCCUUUGCCAAGCGGUGCCAUGUCCGCACCCGGGAUCCGAAACCACGAACCCCAGGCUGCCAAGAAGCGGAACAUGGGAACUUAACCUCUGUGCCACCGGGCCGGCCCCAGCGUUCCUGUGCCUUUUUCGGGGACAGUCUUUCAUGUAAUCAAUUCUUCUAUCAGCUGCCACCUUCAUUCCAGUGCACUUUCAAGCCCUUUCCUGGUACUACCAAGUCACACUGUCUUCAUUUGACAUUUGGUCCUGGAUGUCUUUCUGGAGGCCUCAUCUUUGGACCUUGUCUUCACCUGCCUCCUCCAGUUGUUGCAAGAAUUCUGCUAAGUCAGUUUAGCGAGAAUUCCCCCACCUUGAUAUCUGAUCACGCUGGCCUGCCUUCAGCAAGAAUUUAAAGUCAGUUUGGCAAAAAUCUCCAUUCUCUCAAUGUUUCCUCUUCAUAAUUUUCCAAUCUGCGACCCCCUCACUCUGCGCAUUGACUGAAAAUCCCCAACCCUCUUGCCGUAUUUGGAGUUGAGCCCAAUCUCUUUCCCCUGUUGCAAUACACCUACUGCCACAGUCUUGAAUAAAGUCUUUAUCAUUUUAACAA
rnacentral:lncRNA from 1 species